AUGAGUGUGGCCACCCGGCCGUGGGGGCCCCAACCCGGCUGCUCUGCACGGUGGCUCCGCGGCCACAGGAGUCUCCCUGGGAGUCUCCACGGGCUCCUGGUGCCCGGGCCAAAGGCUCCAAGGCUGGUCCCUCAUUUCCAGCAGAAAACUGUUUUCCUGGACUGUCUUUUUCUUGGCUUACGGAUUUGUGACUGCACUUUCCCAAGAAGUGUUGAAGCUCGGCUCACAUUUUUGUGUGGAGAACCAGCUAACCCCUUCCUCAAAGUUUUUGUGAGGAAAAGUAAUUUAAAUGUUUGAAAAAGAGUUGUAACCUGGUAAAGUGCCUCCGAAGGCUGCUGAGUGCCUCAGAGAGCAGGUACCGCGUGCUUGCUGCGUGUGGGUGUUCGGGCCAGGUACUUUGGGGUUAUGUGUGUCAACGUGACCUGGUCCCUACCUGCCAUCACCUGGGGGGGGGGCUGUGAACAAUUCCUGUCAGUGUUGAUAGGAGACAGUGAGACUGUGCCAUCAACGGUAGUCUCCGUGACCCUGGACCCUCAGAACAAGCCUGCGAAGUAGGUACUAUCAUAUUACCUUCUAUGAGUAUCCCCAUUUAACAGAUGAGAAACUGAGGCCCAGAGGGAUGAAGUAGCUUGUCCAGGAUCAAAUACAUAGCAAAUACUGGAACUGGGAUUUGCAGCUGGCAAUUGAGAAGGAGGCUGGAAUCCAGAGAAGAGGGUUCUGGAGUUCAGAGGGGAGUCCAGCUUCCCACGGGGGGUGGGGGGGGAGGAAGGUGACCUGGGGUGGGUGCAGGCCAGAGCGGGGAACGUGUUUCCUAGGCAGCCUGCAGGGAAGACUGAAAAUGCCCCAUGUUUGGGGGUGGGGGAGACGCUGAUGAGAGUCUGGGGAGCACAGGAGGGGCACAGGGAGAGGUGGAGAUGUGGCACUCAACUGGGGCUCCCGGGGACUUUUUUUUUGGCCACCCGCAGCAUAUGGAGUUCUGGGCCAGGGAUUAGAUCCCAGUUGCAGGUGCCACCUAGCCUGCAGCUGUGGCAAUGCCAGCUCCUUAAUCCACCGUGCCGGGCUGGGGUUCAAAUCUGCGUCCCAGUGCUCCUAAGACACUGCCGAUCCCAUUGCACCGCAGGGUUUGACUUUUAAUGCAGGGGUGACAGAUGGCUGGUCUGUCCACAUGCUGUCACAUGGGCAGCUCCUACGGGUCACCAGCACCCUUCCUCCGUUUCUUCAAGGGACAAAGCGACUUUGCUCUAGAGCAGAACACUGAUCGUCCCACACAUAUGUCCCUACUUUUGUUGCUGUCGCUGUGAGGUUUUUAAACUGGAGACCAUUUCACUUUCACACACCAACCACAAUGUCGAAUAAAUUGGUUGAACUUGUAGAUUUAUAUCCGCA
rnacentral:lncRNA from 1 species